CAGUCGCCGCGGUAAAACGGAGGGUGCAAGCGUUAAUCGGAAUUACUGGGCGUAAAGCGUGCGCAGGCGGUCCGUUAAGACAGAUGUGAAAUCCCCGGGCUUAACCUGGGAACUGCAUUUGUGACUGGCGAGCUAGAGUAUGGCAGAGGGGGGUAGAAUUCCACUGUAGCAGUGAAAUGCGUAGAGAUGUGGAGGAAUACCGAUGGCGAAGGCAGCCCCCUGGGCCAAUACUGACGCUCAUGCACGAAAGCGUGGGGAGCAAACAGGAUUAGAUACCCCCGUAGUCCCUGUCUCUUAUACA
rnacentral:rRNA from 1 species